AGGCGUGAGCCACCGCACCCGGCCCUUCCUUCCCAAUUCUUUUGUCUCCACGGCCUCUUUGACACCUCCUACUUCUCCAAGCUCCCUGGCCUAGACUAAUCUGGCACUUUUCCUUCCCAUGUGUCUCUCUAAAGCUCAUUCCUCAGACUUUUGCAUUCUCAGAGCCGUGACAGCUUCAUCCCCAUCUAAGUCCCAGCUGUGUUUCCUGUCCCCCAUGCGGACUCUGGCCUGUCCCCUCCAGCCCUGGCACCUACCUUUGUGUGACUGAGAGGGACCACUAUCUUUCUGCUCGAUUUCUCUGACUAUCUGAGGGUGUCUCAUCAGAGACUCAGGUCUUUGGCUUAACUGCAGGUGCCCCUGGGAGUGGCCCCAUAGGACACUGUUGUCAGUGCUGGUAUCUUUUUGGGUAAAAUGUGGUGUCUAAGUUUCAGUGUGAGCUCAUAUCCAGCUGUCAGACAAUGAGGAAUGAGUGUUUGGCGGAUGCGUAGCAAGUGCAGAUUGUCUAGGGCAGGAGUGGGUAAACCUUUUCUGUAAAAGACCCCAGAGUAAAGAGGCUGUCGGUAGUAAAAACCUAUCUAGAAUAGUCUCUGCGGGCCCAUAAGGUCUCUGUUGCAACUGUGCAGUUCUGCUGGGGUGGCAGAAGAGCAGCCCCAGCAGUGGCAUGAGUGAUCUGUGCCCCCAAGUUCACAUGUUGAAUUCCGAGCCUCAGAAUGUGACCACGUGUGGAGACAGGGCCAUUAAGGAGGUUAUUAGGCUAAAAUGAGGUCACUAGAGUGGGCCUUGAUCCAAUGUGACUGGUUGACUGGUGUCCUCAUAAGAACAGGAGCUGAAGACACUGACACACACAGAGGGAAGACCACGUGAAGACAGGAAGAUGGCCAUCUCCAAGCCAAGGAGAGAGGCCUCAGAAGGAACCAACCCUGGCAACAGCUCCAUCUAGGACGUGCAGACUCCAGAACUAUGAGACAGUUCCCAGUAACUUCUUCCUGGUGGAUCAGAAUUAAUCCUGAAAAGACUGUUGCCUUUGUUACCUCCUAAACCUUCUGGGGAUGAAAGUGUGAUCAAGGUGAGUCGAGAGGCUUUGAAAUGCUCUGUUUCUAAGACAGUGUGUUUGAAUCAGUGCUAAUGUGUCUUGAUUCUCUGCUGGGUUUGUGAUCUGUAUCAGGAAAGCAUCAUUCUGUUUUGACGCCUCAAAAUAGGAGGAAGAGAAUGGCAUCUGGGGUCCCAGGACAGACAUUUUCUGUUAUCUGAAACCUGGUACGUGGAACCAUUUAGCACUGCUCUGGUCCUGAAAGGCAAGUGGCAGAGAAGCAAGAAUGAGGGUAGUCCUACCAAUUCACAGGGGGAAGAAAAUCCGGCUCAGAGAGAGAGACAGCCAGUCCCCAGCAAGUCAGAGAAACAACACAAUCUCAUCUGCUGUGAUGCUCCACGGUCACCAACACCCCUAGAGUCCCUGUUGGACCUACAUGAGUCUUGCUUGCAGGAGGAAGUCCAGACUCCACCGCCAGCUCCUACUAUCUCAUCAACAGGCAUCUCUACCCCGUUUCCUGAUCCUCCAUUUUAGGCAGAAAGGGGCGCUUACUCUUUCCUGUUCACCUCCUGUUUCUGGACCUUCACAUGUACUGUCCUCUGUCCCGGCGCCUUUCCUUUUCCUCUCAUCUUUCUAGGUCAUGGCGGUCUUGGAGGCCCAGCAGGAUCCCUUACCAAACUUUUAAACAAACCACAGUGAGGUUUGUUCCUCAGCAAGGCCCUUUCUAACCACUCAGGUCUCUCCUUCCUCUGACCUGGAAGCUCCUGUUGCCUGGACUCUUCGUUGGCACACAUUGUCUUAUUAUAUCUAAUACUGAUACUUGGCAUUUCAUAAAUUGCUUUGUCUCCACCAGGAGAUCACAAGGGCAGGAGUUGUCUUAGGAAUCUUUGUGUGCCUGUAACAUUUAGCAUGGUGCUAGAACGUGGAGAUUGCUCAGUGCAUCAUGUGGGCAGUCAGGAAGGAAGAAGGAAGGAGGGAAGGAGAGAAGGAGAGAAGAGAGAAGGAGGGAAAGACAGAAGGAGGGAAGGAGGGAAAGGAAGGUGAGAAGAAAGGAAGGGAAGAAGGAGGGAAGGAGGGAAGGAGAGGAGGAGGGAAGGAGAGAAGGGAAGGAGGGAAGAAGAGGAGGAGGGAAGGAAGAAAGAAGAAGAGAGAAGGAAGGAGGGAAGGAAGAAAAAGGGGAGGAAGAACAGAAGGUGGGAAGGAAGGAGAGAAGAAACGCGGCUCAAUGCCAAAACCUUUCAUGCUUUUGGGACAGAGAAAAGUGCAGUCUCUAGGAAGGGAAGUGAGUGGGGAAUUGGGGUUGGGUGACCUCCUGGGUGGGCAGCCAGGAGGGAAGUUAGCGCUGGGUGACAUGGAACCUGGGAAGGACUAGUUCCACUCUGGCAGCCAUGUCAUCCGAGUAUGUGUGUGGAGGUGAUGAGGGGAGUGCAGGAGACGGGGGCCACACUUCCCCAGUCAUGCCUCUAUUGUAUUUCUACCAGUGGUGGUGAGUAAAGCUGGGCUGGGGGAGGUGAGUGUUGAUGUCUUUGGUGACAGGAGAUAAAUGAAUUCAUCCUAAACAGUGGCUCCUUUUCCAGUACUACAGCAGCUCAACUCUUGACUUUGCUGCCUUGGGGUUUUAAUUAAAUGUCAAAUAUAAUUUAGGGCUGGAGUGUUGAUGUGUGUGUGAACAUGAAGUCCAACGUCUCAUCUUUAUGGGUCUCUCUGGUACUUGCCUAAUUUGGGGGGUUAAUUGGUCACUCUUUAUUUGAGUGCCCCAUGAGAAAACACUUGAUUUCCCCUCUCCCCUCAUCCUUGGUUUUGAAAUAAUAGUUGGAUGAGAAGAAAAAAAAAAAAAAAAA
rnacentral:lncRNA from 1 species